rnacentral:misc_RNA from 1 species
UGUUCUAGGCUUCUAGCGCC